rnacentral:pre_miRNA from 1 species
AAUAAGUAUAGAUUUACGUUGUUCAUGUUUAAAGUUUGACCGUUCGUCUUAUUAAAAUAAUAUUUAUGAUUAAUAUUUUUAUUGUUGUUACUCUUAGAUGAUAAAACAUGAAUUAUAUUUUAUGUGUGACUAUUUUUUUUAUUUUUUAAUAACUUUUUUUAGAUAAAACGAACGAUCGAACAUUUAACACGUAUACCACGGCUGCACUUAUU